rnacentral:rRNA from 1 species
GACGAACGCUGGCGGCGUGCUUAACACAUGCAAGUCGAACGGAAAGGCCCCUUUGGGGUUACUCGAGUGGCGAACGGGUGAGUAACACGUGAGUAACCUGCCCUUGACUUCGGGAUAACUUCAUUAAACUGGGGCUAAUACCGGAUAGGAAUCCUUUCUUCAUGGUUGGGGUUGGAAAGCUUCGGCGGUUUUGGAUGGACUCGCGGCUUAUCAGCUUGUUGGUGGGGUAGUGGCUUACCAAGGCUUUGACGGGUAGCCGGCCUGAGAGGGCGACCGGCCACAUUGGGACUGGGAUACGGCCCAGACUCCUACGGGAGGCAGCAGUGGGGAAGAUUGCACAAUGGGCGGAAGCCUGAUGCAGCAACGCCGCGGGCGGGAUGACGGCCUUCGGGUUGUAAACCGCGUUCAGCAGGGGCGAAGCUUGUGGUGACGGUACCUGCAGAAGAAGCACCGGCUAACUACGUG